CCCAAGCCCAAUAACAUACAUCUUCUCACUCUAUAUCCUCACUCCCUCUCCCUCCUCCGACCAGAAAACGCAGAUCCCUCUUCCUUCCAUGGCGAUUUCACUAACCAAACCCUAAAAACCAAAUCUUUCCCCAUUCCUCUCUCUCUCUCUCUCUCUCUCUCUCUCUCUCUCUAUCUCCAAUUUUACACAUUCGCAUUGUCCUCCCUCCCUUUGUACAAUGAGCAGGUACAGCCUCCGUAACGGCGACAUUGGCAUCGCCGACCUAACCCUAACCGCCACCAAUGACGCCACCACCACCAAUGACAUCACCAUCUCCGCUUCAACUCCCGAUACGGAAACCGAAGCCCUCAUCCACGUGAAAGAGGAACCCACUCCAUCAGACGAAGAUCUCUCCAAUGACGAAAAAGACCUCACAGAUUCCCCAAAUUUCACCAAAGUCUCUGAAGACGAAGACGAAGGCCCUCCUCUCAAGAAGCAGAAACAGCUCUCGUCUUUGUCAACAAACGGUGAAGAAACACCAUCACAACCGUCUAUGAAAAGGAUGAAAAGCACCACCACCACAGCAGUGAAGAAAUCGAAGAAGAAGAACCCCAACAGCAUCUGGACCAAACGGACUUCGCGAAGAGGUAAAAAGAAAGGUAAAAACAAUCACAACCUUAACCACAAUAACCACAAUGCUGCACAAGCAGAGGACACUGUUUUAAUCACUCCUAUACAGAGAUUCCCUGAUAAGACUGAUGACACCCCGGACGCGACCAUCUGUCUGUCUAGGGUUUACAAAGCCGAAAAAGUUGAAUUGAGUGAUGACAGGUUGAGUGCCGGUAGUACAAAGGGGUACAGAAUGGUUAGAGCCACUAGAGGGGUAACGGAGGGUGCUUGGUAUUUCGAGGUCAGGGUUGUGAAGUUGGGGGAAACGGGGCAUACGAGGCUCGGGUGGUCAAACGAGAAAGGGGAUUUGCAGGCGCCGGUUGGGUACGAUGGGAAUAGCUUUGGGUAUAGGGAUGUGGAUGGGAGUAAGGUGCACAAGGCUGUGAGAGAGAAGUACGGGGAUGAAGGGUAUGUGGAAGGGGAUGUUAUUGGGUUUUAUGUUAGUUUGCCUGAGGGAAGCUUGUAUGCACCAAAGCCGCCCCAUUUUGUUUGGUAUAAGGGGCAGCGGUACGUUUGCGCGCCGGAUGGGAAGCAAGAUCCUCCUAAAGUAGUACCAAGAAGUGAAAUAUCUUUCUUCAAAAAUGGGAUUUGCCAAGGUGUUGCUUUUCAGGAUCUUUACGGUGGACGAUACUACCCAGCGGCUUCCAUGUAUACUCUUCCCAAUCAACCAAAUUGCGUUGUCAAGUUCAACUUCGGCCCUGAUUUUGAAUUCUUUCCAGAAGACUUUGGUGAAUGCCCUGUUCCAAGACCCAUGAUUGAAGUUCCUUAUCAUGGCUUUGACGGCAAGGUUGAGAAUGGUAAAUCAUGGCUUUCCAUCAGAAUGUGCACAACCUUGAAAGUGGUGAAAGAGCAGGACACUGAAGUUAUGGAACGCAUGGACCUUUAGGCACAAAGAAAACGCUCAGGGGCCCUACCAGAUACUUGGUUGCGGAGUUUACCACACUUGUAAGCAUAGUGUGCUUAUGAGAACUUUAGGGAGAAAAGAAGCAACUUUAUGGGUGCAGCAAGUUUGAAUGGAGUAAAUUAAAUACAAUAAAUAUGGAGGAAAAUGAAUCUCUCUUUUCUUUACCUCAGACAUUUCUUUUGGGGAGUAUUACAAUGAUGAAGAGAGAUGUUGACAUCGUUUCUUUGCGAGUCUUUGUCUCUCAGGCUUAAUUUUACUGAAAGGGAGAGAAGAACGAGUCCUACUCUUGGAUCAGGGGGAAGAAAAAUUUUGUCGAGAGGGGUACCGAGCAAGACAUUAGUGGACGAUAGGAUAUGACUGACCUGAAGACUUAAUCUCAACAUCGGAUGGAUCAAACUACUCAUGGGCUACCGAACCAGUCGUUAGCACCUUCUUCAAUAUCAGAUUUUUUCAAUUGAUUCAUCUGGUAAUGUACCUCAAACUAUUGUGCUUGAUUACUCUCAUCUUUCUAUUCUUUUAGAAAAGGAAAAGAAAGGAGUUAGGAAGUGUGCUUAACAUCCCAUAUGUACAGUAAUUUCAAAUACUUAAUUAUCGCCUUCAUAUCAGGUAUUUGUAUCUUCUCUUCCUUCUGUAUUUUAUUCCACAGGGUUGGAAGGAAGCUCUCACCGAUCAUAAGUGGGAAGAAGCUCUGGUAUAGUGAAUGACAAACCUAAAGAAACAUGACACUUGAGAAUUAGUAUCUCUUUAGGAGGGGUAGAAAUGAAGGGGCUGAAAAUGUUUGUUGUGAGACAAAUAGAAGACCAGUUGAGAGUUGCAAGGCAAGACUUGCGGCUAGGGAAGGACUUUAUUAUACAAUGUUGAUUAGGAGGAGACCUUUGCUCCUAUAGCAAAGAUAAACUCCCUUCGUGCUCUACUUUCUUGUGAUACUAAUUACAAUUAGUAUUUUAAGCAAUUAGAUGUGAAGAAUGCAUUCUGCAUGUUAAUUAGGACACUCUUAUAUGGAUAUCCCACUAGGGUUUUCGUCUCAUGAUAUGAUGCUAUGAAAGGAAAAGUUUGCGAGUUGAGAGCACUAUUCAAAUCGAGUACCUUGAUGAUAUAGUAAGGUUGGAAAUGAUACGUACUUAGCCAAAAAAAAUAAGGGUUGGAAAUGAUAUGGAGGAUAUCUCAAAUCUCUUCUAGCCAAGGAUUUGAAGAUCAAGGACUCGGGGCUGUGGUGGGCUGAACCAGAACGCCAAUUGGGCCCAGUGAGUGGGCAACCCAAAACACUAUUGUGCCUGGCGAGUGGGCAACCCAAAGCACUGAGUGUUUGGGCCGAACCAGUACACUUUGGCCAGCACUCUGGGAUGUGAGUGUGGCCUGAGGCAUAUAUGCCCACUUCUGUGGUAUUGCAGAGCUAGGGCCAGGCCCAGGUGAAGAUGAAAAGUCCGCAUGGUUAGUGGUGGAUCAGUAUCGAUCACGUGGCCGUACGGUGCGUCAAUCCAAGAAGCGGUUACGGUAUGUUCCUGGCAUGAGCUUACUUGGAACCUAAGUCAAGUCAUUCUAUGUAAAGUACAGUUCUAAACCCUAGAGUGGUACAAUGGUACAUUGUUAUUGUUCACACAGAGCUUUGUACUUUCCUCUCUUGGAGUUGAGCCUGACUUAAGCAUUGGAGUGCCUUCCAGCUAACCAUGGCAGGUUAGGCAGUAAAUGGUGUUUGUCUUGCAGAUCAAGGUUAGAGAAGGUUUAGCUCUGUCCAUAUCCAACGAAAGAUCCAGAAGGAGAGCUGGAUAAACACCCCCACCAGAACCAUUAAGAUACUCUCUUGGGAUUGAUGUUGUCAGAUCUGCCAAGGGCAUCUUUACUUCCUAGCAAAAGUAUAUUCUCAACCUUCUCAAAGAGACAAGAAUGUCGGGAUGUACUUGUGUGACUUUAUAAGAUCGAAUCUUAUUAUUUCUCGAAGUUAAAACUAGACAAUUUCGGCCAAGAUCAAAUGCAAAAGCUGAAUAUAGAGCGUUCAUGGCAUUUGUGAGAUUAUGUGGGCUAUAAUUGUUACUGGAAGACUUGAGAACUCAUGACCACGGACGCUUGAAAUUAUUUUCUGAUAAUAAGACUGCCAAUACAUGGCUCACAAUCUGAUAGCAACAUGACCGUUACUCAAUUUGGAAAGCUGUGGAAUGGGACUUAAUUAGAAUCAAUUUUAUUCCGAGUUUUAGUCAAUUAGUGGUGUUCAUAAUUACCGUUAUAUUCCAUAAGAAAACCUCAUGUUGUCACCGAGGAUGGUUGGUUCUUCAGUGGCAUAGUUUCACAUGGUUUGGUGAUAAGGAGGACAUGGUUUCUAGUAUUUUGGAUGACGUUUGAGAAGACUCAUGGAGUACUAAUUAAUCCUAGAGCACCAAUUUUGGGAUCAAGCUAUAAAACACCUGAUUAGAGGGAGCUUGCAGAUCUUCUCUGUGCAGUGUUCCCACAUUACCGAAUUGGGGGAGCCUGUUGUGCACUUGUGCACACCACACACCUUGGGUUCAACAUUACCGAGCAAGUUGAGGUCAGGCCCCUCCUGUCCCUAUUGGGUAAGGCCUCCUUAGGUUCGAAGAUUCCUCUCUAUGCCCUUCUUCUAUCCCAAAAAGAAAAGAAAAUAUAAAUCUUUUCUUUUCUUGGUUUCAUCUCGUCCCCGUCUCAAAUAAGAGGGGGACAAUAACACAUUUUCCGUCGUUUUCCCUCCCUGAAAUUAUCCUAAUAGGAAGUAUAUCCCUACAAUGUCUUUUUCCUUUUUUUCUCACCUAUGCCCUACCUAAUCUCUUAUAUACUUUUCGGGUGCAGGUAUCUCCCUUCAGACUUGAGUGGCAGAAGGGAAAAUACAGAAUUUGUUUAAGGAUCUAUCUUAUCCCUAUGCUUCAAGGCUAAAGCCAAGCUGGUAUGCAAAGGAGGAAGACCCUUUGAAUUUCUGCAGAGCUCAAGGAUUGUACUGAGGUAGUUGAGGUUUACACCAGCGCUCUACACGUUCAACGUUCUUCUGUUCCGUCGACCCUUUGAGCAAAAUGCAGUAAACAGAAGGUAAAUCCAUGGACCAGCCUUGUCAUCUCCGUCUCGUAGGCACUAGAAGAUCACCGCAACGUCUUUGGCAUCCAAAGAGUCACGGGUAACCCGAGAACCCUGGCCUAUAAGUGGAACGCAUUAGCUGACCGAGGUAUUGUAGGUAUUGUCCAUGCCACCCUUAACACAAGUAUUGGAUAUGGGUGUAUGUCUAAGUGUUGUACUGUUGUAAACUUAAAUCUUAUGUGGGAACAUGUGUCUAAUGUUGAGUAUGAGAAAGGGGAUACAUCCUAAAUACUUAAUUUGUAUUGUACCAUAUGUUAAAGAUAAUAUGUGAAAUUAUAUUUCCAAUGUGCUUUAAAUUGAA